AGGGAUGUGGUUCAGUGGCAGAGCCUUUGCCUGUCAUGCAUGAGACUCUGGGUUUGAUCCCCAGUGCUUCAA
rnacentral:tRNA from 1 species